rnacentral:rRNA from 1 species
UACGUAGGGUGCGAGCGUUGUCCGGAAUUACUGGGCGUAAAGAGCUCGUAGGUGGUUUGUCGCGUUGUUCGUGAAAACUCACAGCUUAACUGUGGGCGUGCGGGCGAUACGGGCAGACUGGAGUACUGCAGGGGAGACUGGAAGUUCCUGGUGUAGCGGUGGAAUGCGCAGAUAUCAGGGGGAACACCGGUGGCGAAGGCGGGUCUCUGGGCAGUAACUGACGCUGAGGAGCGAAAGCGUGGGGAGCGAACAGG